UCCUUCCCUUCUUUCCCUUCAUACCUCAUCAACUAAGAGAUUUGCUGCUAGAGAUUGGGCAGCCGCCGCCGCCACCACCAUCACCACCUUAGUCUACACAAACCCAUUAAAAAUGGCAGCCACCGCUGCCGUUGGCUCUUAUUUCUCCACCGCCGCCACUCCACAGCUCAGCUCCAAGCUCGUCUCCUCCGAUGUCGUCCUCCGAGUCACCUGCGCUCGCCCAUUGCGCAUGCCGACGAUCACCAAUCUCGCAGAGCACUUCUCGAUACCCGUUGCCUUCCAGAAGUGGCGGCUGCUGAGGAUAUCGGCUGCAGUGGCCCAGGAGGAGGCCACUGCUGCGGUCCAGGAGGAGGAGGAGGAGGAGGAGGAGGAGAAAGAGACGAUGGAGGAGAGUGGAAAAGGAGAGGAGGUGGUCGUUGCCGCUCCCGCCCAGCAAAACACCAAGCUGUACUUUGGCAACCUGCCUUAUAGUUGUGACAGUGCCCAAUUGGCUGGGAUCAUCCAAGAGUAUGCAAACCCGGAGCUGGUUGAGGUACUUUAUGAUAGGGAUACUGGACGAAGUCGAGGAUUUGCAUUUGUAACUAUGAGCUCUAUCGAAGAUUGUGAAGCAGUUAUCCAAAAUCUUGAUGGAAGCCAAUACAGUGGGCGUACAAUGAGGGUAAACUUUUCAGACAAACCCAAGCCCAAAGAGCCCUUGUACCCUGAAAGCGAUUACAAGCUCUUCGUGGGGAAUCUAUCUUGGUCGGUUACAUCUGAAAACCUGACCCAGGCGUUUCAGGAAUAUGGUAAUGUGGUAGGAGCUCGAGUUCUUUAUGAUGGAGACACUGGUCGAUCUCGUGGCUAUGGCUUUGUAUGCUACUCAACCAAGGAAGAGAUGGAUGCUGCUCUCCAAUACCUCAAUGGAGCAGAGCUAGAAGGCCGAGCUAUGCGAGUUAGCUUGGCUCUAGGAAAGAAAUCAUAAAAGAAAUCUUGGAUUGAAGAUAUUUGAAGCAAGCUUCCAACUCUGACAUAUAUGGAAGGGAAGAAAUGAUUGAAAGAAUUGCUAUCGCAAUAUAAGAGAUGAUCAUGGAUUGAUAGAAUUGGGAAAGAAAAGGGAAAAUGCAGUGAAAGAAGAAAGGAGUGAUGGAAGACAAUUCCCCACCCUACCUUUUUCUUUAACAAAUUUUUAGCAGCUUAUGGUUACCUUUUGAGUUGUGAGGUGAGCAGAAAUAAUACCUUGAUGGCCAGCCAACUCAUUGAUAGCAUCUUUUGCAGAUAUGUUCCAUACUCAAUUCCAACCAACUAGUCUUUCUUGAUUUUUCAUAUAAGUGGGUACUUUUGUUGAAAUGCAUUGCUUCGG